rnacentral:lncRNA from 1 species
AAAUGUACUGAAUUCCACUGAACUGUACACUUAAAAAUGGCUACAAUGGUAAAUGUAUGUUAUUCAUAUUUUUACCAUUCUUUUAAAAGGUGCUUCCCUAGAAUCAAAUCAAGUCCCUAGUAUUAAUUACCAGUUGACAAGAAAUACAGGGGCUAGAGGAAGAAGAUAAAUUACCCCAUGAGGAAGCGAUCAGACAACGCCAGAAGGUGGAACCUUCCAGAUGCUCUUCAGGAUAACUGUACGCAGAUCAUCAAGAAGUUAAUGUCGGUCUGGCGCGGUGGCUCAAGCCUGUGAGCACUUUGGGAGGCCCUGGCGGGCAGACCACUUGAGGUCAGGAGUUUGAGACCAGCCUGGCCUACAUGGUGAAACCCCAUCUCUACUAAAAAUACAAAAAUUUAGCUGGAUGUGGUGGUGCAUGCCUGUAGUCCCAGCUACUUGGAUGGCAGAGGCAUGAGAAUCACCUGAACCUGGGAAGAGGAGGUUGCAGUGAGCCAAGAUUGUGUCACUGCACUCCAGCCUGGGCAACAAAGUGAGACUCUGUCUCCAAAAUUUAAAAAAAAGUUAAUGUUGUUUUAGAAAAAUAAUAAAGUGAAUAGAACAUUUAUGAUUAAAAGAGGCUUAAGAGACAUAACAGCCAAAUGCAAUUCAUGGACCUUGAUUGAAUCCUAGCUUUGAAAAAACAGGCAGGGCAUAGUAGCUCAUGCCUGUAAUCCCAGCAGUUUGUGGGUCUGAGGCUCACUUGAGGCCAGAAAUCUAUACCAGUCUGGGCAAUAUGGUGAAAACCCCUCUCUACAAAACACACAAAAAAAUUAACCGAGUGUAGUGGCAUGUGCCUGUAGUUCCAGCUACUCGGGAAGCUGAGAUGGGAGGAUCACUUGAGCCCAGGAGUUCUGGGCUGUUGGUGUCCCGAACAAAGAACUGGAGGAGACACACACAGAGAGCAAAGCCAAGCAGCAACAGGGUAAGAAGCACAGUGUCCACUCUCGGAUGGGGGAAUGGACUGACCUCUGCAGAUGAGAUCAGCAUCAGCUUGCUGUAAUUUGGGUCUUUUCAUGUGUUUUUUUCUUCUCUCCCCAAGGCUGCCUAAUCUCUAGCCAGUGUUUGGCUUUUGAUUGAUAGGUGUGUUGCUCAGUUAUUUGGGGCCCUUGUGUACUUCUGUGUCUCCUCUCUCCCAUAAUUUUUUUUUUUUUUUUUUUUUUUGAGACGGAGUCUUGCUCUGUCGCCCAGGCUGGAGUGCAGUGGCCGGAUCUCAGCUCACUGCAAGCUCCGCCUCCCGUUUUUACGCCAUUCUCCUGCCUCAGCCUCUCGAGUAGCUGGCACUACAGGCGCCCGCCACCUCUCCCAGCUAGUUUUUUGUAUUUUUUAGUAGAGACAGGGUUUCACCGUGUUAGCCAGGAUGGUCUUGAUCUCCUGACCUCAUGAUCCGCCCGUCUCGGCCUCCCAAAGUGCUGGGAUUACAGGCCUGAGCCACCGCGCCCGGCCUAUCCCAUAAUUUUAAGUACGUGCAUGAUAUACAGCCCAUAUGCAUGAUCCUUAAGUAGCUGAUAAUCAUGCAGGAUUAUGU